ACCCUGAUAAGAUAUUGUAUAUUUGUAUGCAGUCUUUCUUUAAACCGAAUGGAAUUUCAGCCAUUUCUUUAAGUAAACAUUUUUCUUGCUGAAAAACUACGGACAACCAUGAAUUGGCUUAAAGCUUUUCGCAUCGCUUUAAUCACUGACUCGGUUGUUUUCGUAUUGAAAAUAUUUCUGCCUCUCUAUACAUUUUAUGCGGGAGUAAAAGUGAAGCAGAACUACGAUAACAGCGUAAAGACGGACUCGUCAUCCCUAACGCCAUUAGUCAUAGUAUUAAUCUUCAUCGGAACGGCCAUUCUACUAAUCUUCAUUCUGCUCAGAUUGAUGACCAAUUAUUACCAAUAUCGAAACGAACGACAGGGAUAUCAUAGAAGGAAUUAUGCCAAAGUUUUUUGUUGGAGUUUCUGUUGGUUCACUGUAUGUUUUGUUAACAUCGGAUUCGUUGUUCUGUUGAUUUGGAUUGAUUGGACAUAUGGAAAGUGGCUGCGGAAAGUUGCAAUUGGUUUCCUAUGUUGGGAAAUUGUUAUCCUUUGCUUUAUGGCUAUAUUCAAGUGGUCGGUCAGUGAAGCAACCUACUCAAAUGUUGUACAAAAUGAAAAGAAUAAACCAAAGGGCGAAAUUAAUGUAAAAUGAAAACAAAUUGAAUUGA